UACAGAGAGUGCAAACGUUGUUCGGAAUUACUGGGCUUAAAGCGCACGUAGGCGGCGCCGCAAGUGUUGGGUGAAAUCCCACGGCUUACCCGUGGAACUGCCCAGCAGACUGCGGUGCUAGAGGAUGGUAGGGGAGAGCGGAACUCCUGGUGGAGCGGUGAAAUGCGUAGAUAUCAGGAGGAACACCGGUGGCGAAGGCGGCUCUCUGGUCCAUUUCUGACGCUGAGGUGCGAAAGCUAGGGGAGCAAACGGG
rnacentral:rRNA from 1 species